rnacentral:rRNA from 1 species
AUUGAACGCUGGCGGCAGGCCUAACACAUGCAAGUCGAACGCAUGGCGGACGGGUGAGUAAUGACUGGGCAACUGCCUGCUGGAGGGGGAUAACUACUGGAAAAGGUAGCUAAUACCGCAUACCAUCAGAUGUGCCCAGAUGGGAUUAGCUUGUUGGUGGGGUAACGGCUCACCAAGGCUACGAUCCCUCGCUGGUCUGAGAGGAUGACCAGCCACACUGGAACUGAGACCCGUUCCAGCUUCUGACGGUAGGCAGUAGUGGGGAAUAGUGCCCAAUGGGCGCAAGCCGUAUGCAGCCAUGCCGCGGGUAUGAAGAAGGCCUUCGUGUUGUAAAGUACUUUCAGCGGGGAGGCGUUACCCGCAGAAGAAGCACCGGCUAACUCCGUGCCAGCAGCCGCGGUAAUAC